rnacentral:misc_RNA from 1 species
AAAACCGAAACUCAAAACUAAAGCAAAAGGAAAUCCCAGAAGCCCUUCCAUCUCGGAGACGCCAAAGCCAAAUCUACUACUCUCCUCAACCUAAACGACGCCGCUGCCAUCCCAUCUGCUCCUCAGAUAGUAGUUGUUCAGUUGACUAUGGGAGACAGUGAGAUGGUAGUUACUGAAACAACUGCAGUCACGGAGUAUGCAUCUGCUGGAUAUGCUUCUACUGGCUAUGGCGAUACCAGUUCAAAUGUUGCUCCUUACUCUAGUGUUUAUACCACUGAGGGCACUGGGGUUUUUGCUGCUUCUGCUGAUGUGGCUUAUACCGUGCCAACUGCUUCAAGUUUUGCUGAUGGGAAUGUAUAUGGUACAGAUUCUAAUUCAGUCGUACAAGAGGCCCAUGUCAACGCAAUUUAUGAGACUAAGCCAGAUGUUGGAAUGGGAAGUACUAGUGAGAAUGUAGUUGCUACGAAGAAUGCAUCUAUAGCGCCAUCUCAAGCUGCUGGUUAUGAGACUUCUGUUAAUGGCAGCAUUGGUGGGGAAGCAGUAAGCACUGCAUCUGCUGAGAAUGGUACUACUGCAGAUAUUGUGGAGGGAGCUGCUGCUGCUACUGUGGAUGGUUUGGUGCCACCAAUGUCAGGCGAAGAAGAGCG